GUUGGGUUAGUCCGCACGAGCUUACCCUUGUCAUUAGUUGCCAUCAUUUAGUUGGGCACUCUAUUGGGACUGCCCCUGACAAAUCGGAGGAAGGAGGGGAUGACAUCUAGUCCUCUUGGGCCUUAUGGGCAGGGCUUCUCACAUGUUACAAUGGGCGGUACACAGGGUUGCCAAGCCGCGAGGGGGAGCCAAUCCCAUAAAGCCUAUCAUUGUCCGGAUUGAGUGCUCUGACUCACCUUCGUGAAGAUGGAAACCCUUGGAAUCUCGGAUCACCAUGUCGCGGUGAAUACGUUUUCGGGCCUUGUACACACCGCCCGUCACACCAUGGGAGUGGGUUUUACCACAAUUAGGUAGUCUAACCGCAAGGAGGACGCUUACCACGGUAGUAUUCGUGACUGGGGUGAAAUCG
rnacentral:rRNA from 1 species